AUUGAACGCUGGCGGCACGCCUAACACAUGCAAGUCGAGCGGCAGCGAGAGUAGUAGCAAUACCACUUGUCGGCGAGCGGCGGACGGGUGAGGAACACGUAGGAAUCUACCCAGAAGAGGGGGAUAACCAAGGGAAACUUUGGCUAAUACCGCAUAAUCUCGAGAGAGAAAAGCUGCCCGCAAGGGUGGCGCUUUUGGAGGAGCCUGCGUCCGAUUAGCUAGUUGGUAGGGUAAAGGCCUACCAAGGCGAUGAUCGGUAACUGGUCUGAGAGGACGACCAGUCACACUGGGACUGAGACACGGCCCAGACUCCUAAGGGAGGCAGCAGUGGGGAAUAUUGGACAAUGGGGGCAACCCUGAUCCAGCGAUGCCGCGUGAGUGAAGAAGGCCUUCGGGUCGUAAAGCUCUUUAGGUUGGGAAGAAGGUUGUAGGGGUAAUAUCCUUGCAAUUUGACGGUACCGACAGAAUAAGCACCGGCAAACUCUGUGCCAGCAGCCGCCGCUGUAA
rnacentral:rRNA from 1 species